GCGGUAAUACUGGCAGAACGAGUGGUGCCCACGAAUAUUGGGUCUAAAGAGACCGUAGCUGGCCUGUUAAGUCCACUGUGAAAUCUUGGGGCUCAACCUCAAGGCGUGCAGUGGAUACUGGCAGGCUUGAGAGCGGGGGAGGUCAGGGGUACUUACGGGGUAUGAGUAAAAUCAGUUGAUCCUGUAAGGACCACCAGUGGCGAAGGCGCCUGACCAAAACGCGUCUGACAGUGAGGGUCGAAGGCUAGGAGAACGAAUCGGAUUAGAUACCCGAGUAGCCCUAGCAGUAAAUUAUGCAGACUGUGGUGUUGCUGUGGCUUCGGGCCACAGCAGUGCUGUAGCGUAGGUGUUAAGUCUGCCACCUGGGGAGUACGGCCGCAAGGUUGAAACCUAAGGGAAUUGGCGGGGGAGCACCACAAGGGGUGGAUGCUGCGGUUCAAUUGGAU
rnacentral:rRNA from 1 species